UACAGAGGGGGCAAGCGUUGUUCGGAAUUACUGGGCGUAAAGCGUGCGCAGGCGGUUGUGCAAGACAGAUGUGAAAUCCCCGGGCUUAACCUGGGAAUUGCAUUUGGAACUGCAAGGCUUGAGUGCGGCAGAGGAGACUGGAAUUCCUGGUGUAGCAGUGAAAUGCGUAGAUAUCAGGAGGAAUACCGAUGGCGAAGGCAGGUCUCUGGGCUGACACUGACGCUCAUGCACGAAAGCGUGGGGAGCAAACAGG
rnacentral:rRNA from 1 species